CCUACGGGAGGCAGCAGUGAGGAAUAUUUGUCAAUGGACGAGAGUCUGAACCAGCCAAGUAGCGUGAAGGAUGACUGCCCUAUGGGUUGUAAACUUCUUUUAUAUGGGAAUAAAAUGUUCCACGUGUGGGCUUUUGUAUGUACCAUAUGAAUAAGGAUCGGCUAACUCCGUGCCAGCAGCCGCGGUAAUACGGAGGAUCCGAGCGUUAUCCGGAUUUAUUGGGUUUAAAGGGAGCGUAGGUGGAUUGUUAAGUCAGUUGUGAAAGUUUGCGGCUCAACCGUAAAAUUGCAGUUGAAACUGGCAGUCUUGAGUACAGUAGAGGUGGGCGGAAUUCGUGGUGUAGCGGUGAAAUGCUUAGAUAUCACGAAGAACUCCGAUUGCGAAGGCAGCUCACUGGACUGCAACUGACACUGAGGCUCGAAAGUGUGGGUAUCAAACAGGAUUAGAUACCCUAGUAGUC
rnacentral:rRNA from 1 species